rnacentral:rRNA from 1 species
GAAUGCUGACAUAAGUAACGAUAAAGCGGGUGAAAAGCCCGCUCGCCGGAAGACCAAGGGUUCCUGUCCAACGUUAAUCGGGGCAGGGUGAGUCGACCCCUAAGGCGAGGCCGAAAGGCGUAGUCGAUGGGAAACGGGUUAAUAUUCCCGUACUUGGUGUUACUGCGAAGGGGGGACGGAGAAGGCUAUGUUGGCCGGGCGACGGUUGUCCCGGUUUAAGCGUGUAGGUGUGUGUUCCAGGUAAAUCCGGUUCACUUUAACACUGAGGCGUGACGACGAGGCACUACGGUGCUGAAGCAACAAAUGCCCUGCUUCCAGGAAAAGCCUCUAAGCAUCAGGUAACAUCAAAUCGUACCCCAAACCGACACAGGUGGUCAGGUAGAGAAUACCAAGGCGCUUGAGAGAACUCGGGUGAAGGAACUAGGCAAAAUGGUGCCGUAACUUCGGGAGAAGGCACGCUGACACGUAGGUGAAGUGAUUUACUCAUGGAGCUGAAGUCAGUCGAAGAUACCAGCUGGCUGCAACUGUUUAUUAAAAACACAGCACUGUGCAAACACGAAAGUGGACGUAUACGGUGUGACGCCUGCCCGGUGCCGGAAGGUUAAUUGAUGGGGUCAGCGCAAGCGAAGCUCCUGAUCGAAGCCCCGGUAAACGGCGGCCGUAACUAUAACGGUCCUAAGGUAGCGAAAUUCCUUGUCGGGUAAGUUCCGACCUGCACGAAUGGCGUAAUGAUGGCCAGGCUGUCUCCACCCGAGACUCAGUGAAAUUGAACUCGCUGUGAAGAUGCAGUGUACCCGCGGCAAGACGGAAAGACCCCGUGAACCUUUACUAUAGCUUGACACUGAACAUUGAGCCUUGAUGUGUAGGAUAGGUGGGAGGCUUUGAAGUGUGGACGCCAGUCUGCAUGGAGCCGACCUUGAAAUACCACCCUUUAAUGUUUGAUGUUCUAACGUGGACCCGUUACCCGGGUUGCGGACAGUGUCUGGUGGGUAGUUUGACUGGGGCGGUCUCCUCCUAAAGAGUAACGGAGGAGCACGAAGG